rnacentral:rRNA from 2 species
AGUCAUAUGCUUGUCUCAAAGAUUAAGCCAUGCAUGUCUCAGUACAAGCCGAAUUAAGGUGAAACCGCGAAAGGCUCAUUAAAUCAGUUAUGGUUCCUUAGAUCGUACCCACACUUACUCGGAUAACUGUGGUAAUUCUAGAGCUAAUACGUGCAAACAGAGCUCCGACCGGAGACGGGAGGAGUGCUUUUAUUAGAUCAAAACCAAUCGGCGGCGGGCGCGUCCGCGCGUCCGUUCGCCGCUCGACCUGGUGACUCUGAAUAACUUUACGCUGAUCGCACGGUCUCGCACCGGCGACGCAUCUUUCAAAUGUCUGCCUUAUCAACUGUCGAUGGUAGGUUCUGCGCCUACCAUGGUCGUAACGGGUAACGGGGAAUCAGGGUUCGAUUCCGGAGAGGGAGCCUGAGAAACGGCUACCACAUCCAAGGAAGGCAGCAGGCGCGCAAAUUACCCACUCCCGGCACGGGGAGGUAGUGACGAAAAAUAACGAUACGGGACUCAUCCGAGGCCCCGUAAUCGGAAUGAGUACACUUUAAAUCCUUUAACGAGGAUCAAUUGGAGGGCAAGUCUGGUGCCAGCAUCCGCGGUAACUCCGGCUCCAAUAGCGUAU